rnacentral:misc_RNA from 1 species
UCUCCGUAGGUGAACCUGCGGAGGGAUCAUUAAGAAUUGAACAGCAGUGUCUGGCACUGUUGCCCAUUCUAACCCUUUGUGAACUACAACUCUGUUGCUUCGGGGGCGACCCUGCCGACGACUUCGUCGCCGGGCGCCCCCGGAGGUCUUCUAAACACUGCAUCAUUGCGUCGGAGUUAAAGUAAAUUAAACAAAACUUUCAACAACGGAUCUCUUGGUUCCAGCAUCGAUGAAGAACGCAGC